AUUGAACGCUAGCGGGAUGCUUUACACAUGCAAGUCGAACGAGUGGCGGACGGGUGAGUAAUAUAUCGGAAAGUGCCCAGUAGCGGGGGAUAACUACUCGCAAGAGUAGCUAAUACCGCAUACCAUUGGAGCUGCCGAUAUCGGAUUAGCUAGUUGGUGGGGUAAAGGCUCACCAAGGCAACGAUCCGUAGCUGGUUUGAGAGGACGACCAGACACACUGGGAUGGAGCCAGGGCCCAGAUCCCGAGGGGAGGAAGCAGUGGGGAAUUUUGGACAAGGGGGGAAACCCUGAUCCAGCCAUCCAGGGUGUAGGAAAAGGCCUUGGGGUUGAAAGGUUCUUUUGGCAGAGAAGCGGUAUCUGCAGAAUAAGCACCGGCUAACUACGUGCCAGCAGCCGCGGUAAUA
rnacentral:rRNA from 1 species